UACGUAGGGUGCAGGCGUUAAUCGGAAUUACUGGGCGUAAAGCGUGCGCAGGCGGUUUCUUAAGUCAGACGUGAAAUCCCCAGGCUUAACUUGGGAACUGCGUCUGAUACUGGAAGGCUUGAGUGCGGGAGAGGGAUGUGGAAUUCCAGGUGUAGCGGUGAAAUGCGUAGAUAUCUGGAGGAACACCGGUGGCGAAGGCGGCAUCCUGGACCGACACUGACGCUGAGGCGCGAAAGCUAGGGGAGCAAACGGG
rnacentral:rRNA from 1 species